AGGAGGCUGAGGCAGGAGAAUCACUUGAACCCAGAAGGCAGAGAUUAUAGUGAGCUGAGAUCACGCCACUGCAUUCCAGCCUGGGCGACAGAGUGAGACUUGGUCUCAAAAAAAAAAAAAAAAAAAAAAAAAGUCUAUGCCCAGAGAAAAUAUCUUUGAAAUAAAAAAGCAGCAUACUUUUUCAGACAAGAGCUGAAAGGAUUCAUCAGUAGAUGUGUAGUACAAGAAAUGUUAAAGGAAGUUAAGUAAGGCAGGUAGAAAUACACUAGGGACCAGCAACCCAUGGUCUGCAAGCUGCUAUUUCACUGCCUGCAGGCUAAGAAAGUUUUUGUUUUUCCCCUUUUUUCAAGGGUUAUAAAAGAAAACCAAAAAUAACUCCUGACAUUGCCCACUGUUUCUUUUGUGGGGGGAGGGAGGAAAGGGGCAGGGGACAUAAAACUGCCUUCAGUUGAGAACCACUGGCUAUAUAUGCAUCCCAGUUAAAAACUAGAGGUUGUUGCAUUGAAUAAAACAAGAUCCAAUUUUAUGCCUCUUAUAAGGCACACACUUUAAACGUAAAGACCCAAAUAGGUUAAAAGGAUGAAAAAACAUACCGUGGUAAUACCAAUUAAAGCUGGAAUGUCUGUAUUAUUAGACAAAGCAGAUUCUAGAGCAAAGAAUAUUGCCAAGGAUGAAGAAUGCAAAACGGAGCAACCACUGGAAAACACUUUGACAGUUUCUUGUAAAGUUAAACAUGCAUCUAUCAUACAUGUGAUCUAGCCAUUCUACCUCUAGGUAUUUACCCAAGAGAAAAUGAAAUAUUUGUUCAUGCAAAGACAAAUGUCCAUUGUAGCUCUAUUUGUAAUGACCAAAAUUUAGAAACAACCAAAGUGCCUAUCAAGUGAAUAAACUGGAAUACACUGGAACACAUAUGAGAAUACUACUCAGCAAUGAAAAGGAAUGAACUGUUGAUACGCAUGUGCAAUUCAUUUCAAGUACAUUUCCAUAAAGCUUGUAUAAGUUUGAGUCAGGAAGUGAGAUAUGACAAUACAGUAGCUCUGAUUUUAUUUCAAAAUUUCUAUAAUAAUGUCCUUUUCCAUAUGUUGCAAAAUUUUGGGAGCAUGUAGUGCCUAGGGUGAUUACUGCCUUUAACAAUAAUGUCUUGGAACCCUUGGAUAAGUUGGAAUGUUGAAAUCCCUGUAAUUAUAAAUAUAGUUCAUAAAAAAUGCUGAAAAUAUCAGUAAAAUAUGUGGUAUUAUUACUUAGAUAUUGUCUUCGGAAAUGUUUGCCAAAUAGUAAUUGCUUUUCAAUAAGAAAACAAGUACUGAACAAGGAGUAUUGAGUAUUUAAUAAAAAUAACUUUUCAUAAUGUAAAAUCAGCAGACUGGAUGCCAGAGUUUUGUUACAUUUUCUGUGGGCUGAUGAUCAUUGAAGCCAGGUAUUGGGUAAAAGGGGAGUAUUUAUUAUCAUUCUUUCUACUUUUAUGUUUGUUUGAAAUUUUUUAUCAUAAAGCUUUUUUUUUUUUUUUUUUUUUUGAGAUAAGGUCUCUGUUGCCCAGGCUGGAAUGCAGUAGCACAACAUUUAAAAAAAUUUAUAUUAUCUAGCAAUAGAUAUUCUAUUCCUGAAAAUACAUUUCUGUUGUCUGAUAUAUAAUGACAUUCUGUUAACAAAACACUGCAUAUAUGAUGGUGGUCCCAUGAAGUAAUACUGUAUUUUUACUGUACCUUUCCUAGUUUUGAAUACAUUUCGAUACAGAAAUACUUAACCAUCGUGUUACAAUUGCCUACAGUAAAGUGACAUGCUGUACUGGUUUGUAGCCCAGGAGCAAGAGGCUAUAUACAUAGCCAAAGUAUGUAGUAGGCUAUACCAUCUGGGUUUGUGUAAGUAUGCUUAGAUGUUUGGGCAGUGACAAUCGCCUAAUGACACAUUUCUCAAAAUGUAUCCCUGUUGUUAAGUAACAAAUACUUAACUGUAUAUCUAAUUCAGUUGUGUCUGAGGUUAUAUUUAAACAACAUGGUGUAUCCUGUACUAACGGAUCUUUCUCUACAAGUGUUAUGCAGCUUAUUUUCUUUUUUUUUUUUUUUUUGAGACGGAGUCUCGCUCUGCUGCCCAGGCUGGAGUGCAGUGGCCGGAUCUCAGCUGACUGCAAAUGCAGCUUAUUUUCAAUGAGGUGGAUUAUGAAGUCUGUACAGACUUAUAGUAAAUAUUGCUUCCAAAUGUUCUGCAGUGGUAAAAAAGAUGGAGUUUUGCUGUUGUUGCCCAGGCUGGAGUGCAAUGGCAUGAUCUUGACUCACCGCAACCUCUACCUCCUGAGUUCAAGCGAUUCUCCUGCCACAACCUCCCUAGUAGCUGGGAUUACAGGUGCCCGCCACCAUGCCUGGCUAAUUUUGUAUUUUUAGUAGAGAUGGGGUUUCUCCAUGUUGGUCAGGCUAGUCUUGAACUCCCGACCUCAGGUGAUCUGCCCACCUUGGCCUCCCAAAGUGCUGGGAUUAUAGGCGUGAUAAAUUGACCAUCUUAUACCAGGAAAUCAAAUGAGUAGACAUCAGUAAAAAUAUUCUGGCCAACUCAUGUUUUAUUUAUCAUAUCCUCUUCAUUAAUUGCUUCUCAUAAUGCCACAGUUUGUCAUGGUAUUUGUGGCAGCAGGCAAAGUCCUUGCUUAGACUUUGAUUAAAUUGCUGUGGCAUUUUUCUAUUAAAAAGAUAUCCUGGUU